UACGUAGGGUGCAAGCGUUAAUCGGAAUUACUGGGCGUAAAGCGUGCGCAGGCGGUUGUGCAAGUCCGAUGUGAAAUCCCCGGGCUUAACCUGGGAAUGGCAUUGGUGACUGCACGGCUAGGGUGUGUCAGAGGGGGGUAGAAUUCCACGUGUAGCAGUGAAAUGCGUAGAGAUGUGGAGGAAUACCGAUGGCGAAGGCAGCCCCCUGGGAUAACACUGACGCUCAUGCACGAAAGCGUGGGGAGCAAACAGG
rnacentral:rRNA from 1 species